CCUACGGGAGGCUGCCGUGGGGAAUAUUGGACAAUGGGCGAAAGCCUGAUCCAGCCAUGCCGCGUGUGUGAAGAAGGCCUUCGGGUUGUAAAGCACUUUCAGUGGGGAAGAAAGCCUUGGGGCUAAUACCCUCGAGGAAGGACAUCACCCACAGAAGAAGCACCGGCUAACUCCGUGCCAGCAGCCGCGGUAAUACGGAGGGUGCGAGCGUUAAUCGGAAUUACUGGGCGUAAAGCGCGCGUAGGCGGUCUGAUAAGCCGGUUGUGAAAGCCCCGGGCUCAACCUGGGAACGGCAUCCGGAACUGUCAGGCUAGAGUGCAGGAGAGGAAGGUAGAAUUCCCGGUGUAGCGGUGAAAUGCGUAGAGAUCGGGAGGAAUACCAGUGGCGAAGGCGGUCUUCUGGACUGACACUGACGCUGAGGUGCGAAAGCGUGGGUAGCAAACAGGAUUAGAUACCCUUGUAGUC
rnacentral:rRNA from 1 species